rnacentral:lncRNA from 1 species
GGUCUUAGCUGUUCGUAGAUUAAAUUUGAAUUUGGAUGUUUAUUCAAAUCUUUUGAUCAACUCAUGGCAGUGUUGCCACCAAAAAAGUAAAUCUAAUUAGUUUGAUUUUUUAAUUAUAAAUUAUAUUUGAUUGAAGUAGAAUAUCAGAAAACUUGCCUUAUUUUUGUGAUCAAGGAGAAUCAAAUUGAUCCAUAUCAUAGUUGUCUCAUAU